AUCUGUAGAGUCAUUGAUUCUCCACAGAGCGUCGGCGGGCGUUCUGCUGGAUCCUUCGAACUGCCCACCUGAGGCAGACCGCCA
rnacentral:sRNA from 1 species